AGAGUUUGAUCCUGGCUCAGGAUGAACGCUAGCGACAGGCUUAACACAUGCAAGUCGAGGGGCAGCGGGUAGAUGAGCUUGCUCAUUUAUGCCGGCGACCGGCGCACGGGUGAGUAACACGUAUGGAACCUGCCCGCAGCAGGGGGAUAAGCGGAAGAAAUUCCGUCUAAUACCGCGUAACAACGUUGGGAGGCAUCUCCCGAUGUUUAAAGAUUUAUCGGCUGCGGAUGGCCAUGCGGCGCAUUAGCUAGUCGGCGGGGUAACGGCCCACCGAGGCGACGAUGCGUAGGGGUUCUGAGAGGAAGGUCCCCCACACUGGUACUGAGACACGGACCAGACUCCUACGGGAGGCAGCAGUGAGGAAUAUUGGUCAAUGGCCGAGAGGCUGAACCAGCCAAGUCGCGUGAGGGAAGACGGCCCUACGGGUUGUAAACCUCUUUUGUCGGGGAACAAAGGGCGCCACGUGUGGCGUUGUGAGUGUACCCGAAGAAAAAGCAUCGGCUAACUCCGUGCCAGCAGCCGCAGUAAUACGGAGGAUGCGAGCGUUAUCCGGGUUUAUUGGGUUUAAAGGGUGCGUAGGCGGUCCGGAAAGUCAGCGGUAAAAGCCCGGGGCUCAACCCCGGCGAGCCGUUGAAACUGUCGGACUAGAGACGGCGAGAAGUACGCGGAAUGCGCGGUGUAGCGGUGAAAUGCAUAGAUAUCGCGCAGAACUCCGAUUGCGAAGGCAGCA
rnacentral:rRNA from 1 species